UCCUUUUGUCUUACUUUUUUUUCUAUACCAAACACCAGCCAUCUCUGGUAGCUUUCCCUUAUGUAUACAUUCCUCUCUAUAAGUGAUACCUUCCUGCUUUCUGUGUCAUUGCUGUCAAUUCAUACUCCAUGUUCAAAAUGCACCUCAGUCAUUAUUUCCUAUGAGAUGUCUUCCUUAAACAUCCUUCAAGUACAAAUUUAAUAGAUAUUUAAAUUAUUAAAAUAGUUGUGUAUCUAUUGAUAUAUUUCCUUUACUUCCUAAACUUACUUCUCUUUGUAUCACCAACACCUAACUUUGUAUUUUAGAAUAUGUUCAAUAGAACAUUUCCCUCUUUUGUCUUCUGUUUCAGCAAGGGAGUGAAAGCACGAUUUGUUGUGACUGAUGGUGGGAUUACCAGAGUUUAUCCCAAAGAUUGUUGGAAUUAAAAUUGAUGUAAAUUCCUGGAUAGAGAAUUUCACCAAAACCUCAAUCAGAGAUCCGUGUGCUGGUCCAGUUUGUGACUGCAAAAGAAACAGUGACGUAA
rnacentral:sRNA from 1 species